GAGGCAGCAGUGAGGAAUAUUGGUCAAUGGGCGAGAGCCUGACACCAUGCCAAGUCGCGUGAAGGAAGAAGGUUCUAUGGAUUGUAAACUUCUUUUGUAAGGGAAUAAAAAAGAGUACGUGUACUCUAUUGUAUGUACUUUACGAAUAAGGAUCGGCUAACUCCGUGCCAGCAGCCGCGGUAAUACGGAGGAUCCAAGCGUUAUCCGGAUUUAUUGGGUUUAAAGGGUGCGUAGGCGGACCUAUAAGUCAGUGGUGAAAGUUUGCGGCUCAACCGUAAAAUUGCCAUUGAAACUGCAGGUCUUGAGUGUAAAUAAGGUAGGCGGAAUGUGUUGUGUAGCGGUGAAAUGCUUAGAUAUAACACAGAACACCAAUUGCGAAGGCAGCUUACUGGGAUACAACUGACGCUGAGGCACGAAAGCGUGGGGAUCAAACAGGACAUAUGGAUUUGACGGGGGCCCGCACAAGCGGAGGAACAUGUGGUUUAAUUCGAUGAUACGCGAGGAACCUUACCCGGGCUUGAAAUGCAGACGACCGACCAGGAAACUGGUCUUCCAGCAAUGGCGUCUGUGUAGGUGCUGCAUGGUUGUCGUCAGCUCGUGCCGUGAGGUGUCGGCUUAAGUGCCAUAACGAGCGCAACCCCUAUUGAUAGUUACUAACAGGUUAAGCUGAGGACUCUAUUGAGACUGCCACCGUAAGGUGUGAGGAAGGUGGGGAUGACGUCAAAUCAGCACGGCCCUUACGUCCGGGGCGACACACGUGUUACAAUGGGGGGUACAGAGGGUUGCUACUUGGUGACAAGAUGCUAAUCUCUUAAAGCCUCUCUCAGUUCGGAUCGAAGUCUGCAACUCGACUUCGUGAAGCUGGAUUCGCUAGUAAUCGCGCAUCAGCCAUGGCGCGGUGAAUACGUUCCCGGGCCUUGUACACACCG
rnacentral:rRNA from 1 species